rnacentral:rRNA from 1 species
UGGGGAAUUUUGGACAAUGGACGCAAGUCUGAUCCAGCCAUUCCGCGUGCAGGACGAAGGCCUUCGGGUUGUAAACUGCUUUUGUACAGAACGAAAAGGUCUCUAUUAAUACUAGGGGCUCAUGACGGUACUGUAAGAAUAAGCACCGGCUAACUACGUGCCAGCAGCCGCGGUAAUACGUAGGGUGCAAGCGUUAAUCGGAAUUACUGGGCGUAAAGCGUGCGCAGGCGGUUAUAUAAGACAGAUGUGAAAUCCCCGGGCUCAACCUGGGAACUGCAUUUGUGACUGUAUAGCUGGAGUGCGGCAGAGGGGGAUGGAAUUCCGCGUGUAGCAGUGAAAUGCGUAGAUAUGCGGAGGAACACCGAUGGCGAAGGCAAUCCCCUGGGCCUGCACUGACGCUCAUGCACGAAAGCGUGGGGAGCAAACA